GUCGAGCGGAUGAAGGGAGCUUGCUCCUGGAUUCAGCGGCGGACGGGUGAGUAAUGCCUAGGAAUCUGCCUGGUAGUGGGGGAUAACGUCCGGAAACGGGCGCUAAUACCGCAUACGUCCUGAGGGAGAAAGUGGGGGAUCUUCGGACCUCACGCUAUCAGAUGAGCCUAGGUCGGAUUAGCUAGUUGGUGGGGUAAAGGCCUACCAAGGCGACGAUCCGUAACUGGUCUGAGAGGAUGAUCAGUCACACUGGAACUGAGACACGGUCCAGACUCCUACGGGAGGCAGCAGUGGGGAAUAUUGGACAAUGGGCGAAAGCCUGAUCCAGCCAUGCCGCGUGUGUGAAGAAGGUCUUCGGAUUGUAAAGCACUUUAAGUUGGGAGGAAGGGCAGUAAGUUAAUACCUUGCUGUUUUGACGUUACCAACAGAAUAAGCACCGGCUAACUUCGUGCCAGCAGCCGCGGUAAUACGAAGGGUGCAAGCGUUAAUCGGAAUUACUGGGCGUAAAGCGCGCGUAGGUGGUUCAGCAAGUUGGAUGUGGAAUCCCCGGGCUCAACCUGGGAACUGCAUCCAAAACUACUGAGCUAGAGUACGGUAGAGGGUGGUGGAAUUUCCUGUGUAGCGGUGAAAUGCGUAGAUAUAGGAAGGAACACCAGUGGCGAAGGCGACCACCUGGACUGAUACUGACACUGAGGUGCGAAAGCGUGGGGAGCAAACAGGAUUAGA
rnacentral:rRNA from 1 species